GAAAUGCGAUAAGUAAUGUGAAUUGCAGAAUUCAGUGAAUCAUCGAAUCUUUGAACGCACAUUGCGCCCCCCGGCAUUCCGGGGAGCAUGCCUGUUCGAGCGUCUCGGGGAAUACUCCUCACGCCGGUGGAGGCGUGGUCAUGGCUGCGGUGGCGGGCCCGAGCGGGCGGCCACCGCGCUGGAAUCCAUGGGCGGACGCCUGCUGCGUGGCCGAGCGUGAUAUGACGCAUCGGCGCUUGCGCGCGGCGAGGCUGCCGGCCCUGGCCCGCUUGUCGGGCGGGGAGAGCAACACAUGGGAACUCCUCGAAUCAGGUAGGGAUACCCGCUGAACUUAA
rnacentral:misc_RNA from 1 species